CUUUCAAGUGAUGAUAAAAGAGACGGGGACAUGGAAAUCCUUUUUAAGGAGAAUUAAAUGUUGAUUCAUCUUUGGAAUCUCUCUGAUGCAUA